UAGGCUGUUCUUCUUUUCUUGAUGGCUCUGAUUGUGGUAGGGCCCUCGGCCUAUCUUCCCUACCUUCAGACUGACGUCGGAUGAAUCUGUUGAGCUGACCUCAUCUGAUGAGCUCCUCGAUCUCAUCUUGGAACUAAAUACACUCCUUCGUGUCGUGGCUGUGGUCACGAUGAUAGAGGCAGAACUUGUUAGGGUUUCACUUCUCAGGGUGUGUGCGUAUC
rnacentral:lncRNA from 1 species